rnacentral:rRNA from 1 species
UACGGGGGGGGGGCAAGCGUUGUUCGGAAUUACUGGGCGUAAAGGGCUCGUAGGCGGCCAACUAAGUCGGAUGUGAAAUCCCCAGGCUUAACCUGGGAACUGCAUCCGAUACUGGAUGGCUUGAAUUCGGGAGAGGGAUGCAGAAUUCCAGGUGUAGCGGUGAAAAUGCGUAGAUAUCUGGAGGAAUACCGGUGGCGAAGGCGGCAUCCUGGACCGAGAUUGACGCUGAUGAGCGAAAGCUAGGGGGAGCAAACGGG